CAGCAGCCGCGGUAAUACAGAGGGUGCAAGCGUUAAUCGGAAUUACUGGGCGUAAAGCGUGCGUAGGUGGUUUGUUAAGUCAGGUGUGAAAUCCUGGGGCUCAACCUCAGAAUGGCGCUUGAUACUGGCAGACUCGAGUGUGGUAGAGGAUAGUGGAAUUCCCGGUGUAGCGGUGAAAUGCGUAGAUAUCGGAAGGAACACCUGUGGCGAAAGCGGCUCACUGGACCAUUACUGACACUGAGGCACGAAAGCUGGGUAGCAAACAGGAUUAGAUACCCUGGUAGUCCUAGCCCUAAACGAUGAUCGCUUGGUGUGGCGGGUAUCCAACCCUGCCGUGCCGAAGCUAACGCGUU
rnacentral:rRNA from 1 species